rnacentral:rRNA from 1 species
GUCAAGUUACAAAGGGCUCACGGUGGAUACCU